AACGAACGCUGGCGGCAGGCCUAACACAUGCAAGUCGAACGGCAGCACGGGGGCAACCUUGGUGGCGAGUGGCGAACGGGUGAGUAAUGCAUCGGAACGUGCCCAGUAGUGGGGGAUAACUAGUCGAAAGAUUAGCUAAUACCGCAUACGACCUAUGGGUGAAAGCGGGGGAUUCGCAAGAACCUCGCGCUAUCGGAGCGGCCGAUGUCUGAUUAGCUAGUUGGCGGGGUAAAAGCCCACCAAGGCGACGAUCAGUAGCUGGUCUGAGAGGACGACCAGCCACACUGGGACUGAGACACGGCCCAGACUCCUACGGGAGGCAGCAGUGGGGAAUUUUGGACAAUGGGCGCAAGCCUGAUCCAGCCAUGCCGCGUGCGGGAAGAAGGCCUGGUGU
rnacentral:rRNA from 1 species